AGGAAACAGAGAUUCCCCAAGCACCUUUUCCGCUACGAUAUUUGAAGAUUACAUCGGCCAGGCUCGAUCAGCCACUGCAGAGAGUUCCUCGGUGCCUGAUAAGCCCGCUGCGUUUUAGAUCACCGAAGCUGUUUCCACGCUGCAUUUUGUAGGGCUGCACUGCUGAGAGCAGAGAGACUCAAAUCCAAUCCUGCCCUGCUCUGCUCCGCAACAGGCAUUGCCUCACCGUGCCGGGUUUCAACACACGGCGUGCGAAACGUGGAUUUUCUGGGAUCUUCCAGGACACCUUCGCUCGCAGGAAAAUCGGCUCCGAGGUUGGAGGCUGCAAUGCGUGAGCAGGGAGGAGAAACAACAUCCAGCAGCCUGCAGAAAAAGCAGCCGCACAGCUUGCUCGAGUGCAAAUCUGGACUUUUGGCCGGCUGGACUCGUGGGUAUCUCGGUAAGCAGCACCCAACUGCGUUUCGUGGCACCUUCCCAAGGGAAAUAUAUUUUUCCAGGUGUUAUCAGGCCACUUGCUGAAGUGCAUUUCAGCACUGACUGGGCUGUGCGAGCCGUGGCAAUUCCUAGGCACGCUUUAAGGGAGCCCUCCUGCCCCGUGGUGCUGUUCCUCCCGAGGCACCAACCAGCCCCGUGCCGUGAGAGCCGUCGCUUUCCUCUGCAGCUCUCCAAACCUCCCCGGCACCAGCUUUGGGCUCAGCUUUCCAACGCCGCCUUCCUGCGCAUUUCCAACCCCGUCCUGAGCACUUCACAGACCACCGAGACCCACCAGGUUUGUUGAGGAGGGUUUCUCGGUGUUCCUCCUGUGCUGGAUUAAGGGCCGGGACGCAGAGGCACGCUCGCUUUCACCGCAGGGGAUUCGCACGCCUCCAGCUCUUGGCCUUCCCCCCCCCUAUAGCCUGCAAGCGUGCGAUCCCUUUCACCUCCAGCACUCUCCUCCACCCCCAACCCGUAUCUUAGGCUUACUUUAAGGGCUGUUUACCCAGAGUUUGGAGGAGACGAGCGAUUUCCCUGCUGCUCCCACAACCACUCUGGGUGAACCCCGCAGGAGCCGGGCUCCCAAACCCAUGGGUUACCCCUUUGGGGUGUACCAAGACCCCGGUACCCGUGAGCCAGGCAGGUUUCCAACCACCAAGGCUAUUCCGUGCGUGCCUGCACAGAUCUUUUUCUAUGCUUCACCUCCUAUUUUUAUGCCCUCAUCCCCGCAGCACGGCGGUGGAGGUGCGGGCACCGGCAGCCACGCAGGAGCUAUUUGGGGGCAACGUGGGGCACGAGGGCGCGACGAAGCCGCUGCGGGCACCCCAAAAAGCAUGAAGCGAGGGGAGAAACCCCCAGAUGCUGGCGGGGACAAACCCCUAGGUGCUGGCGGAGGUUGUUGGAGAACCUGGGUGGCUGCCUGUAACCUUUUGUGAUGCCACGAGGAUGUUCCAGCUGCACCCUGGACCAGUUUCCAGCACUCGCAGCCGCUCCCAAAUCUCUUUAAAUGGUUGCUGCCAUUUGCUGGGAUUUGCAACCGGCAACGUUUCCAAAAUAGCGCUGUGAGUACCAAGAAAAAAAAAGAGGUUUUCUGAGCAGCUUUGUUCUUUGGGCUCGAUAGCUAACAAAUAACCCAUCUCACCGAUGGCACGGACAGAAAGUGCUGGCGAGCACUUUCUCAAGGCCUCGCAUCGCCCCCACGCCUGGCCUGCGAUCAGCGGCAGCUCGCUUUAUGUCACUGGAAACAUUUUGCUGUGACAGGAGGUUUCGGACAGAAGCAUUUCACCAAAACACUAAAUAUUUCUAAAUAGGUUUUCUAUUCAACUCUCCCAGGCUGCUAAAUGGCAAGCCAAAGGAUUUUUGGUCGCGUUUCUCUUGGGUUCCUGAAAUUAAAGGCGUCUUACUCAGUAACCUCAGCUUCCUGCUGGUUCUUCUAACAAUUAAAACUCAGCACGGCUCGCAAGGACAGGAAACGUGCCUCGAUUCUGCUCUUCCUAGAUAGAGAAAUGUCAUGUGAAACAGCAGCUUUGAGAUCAUCGAAUAAACCCAACCAAAUUAAUACCGAAGCGGUGGCAUUUCCCGAAUCACCCUCUUCUGAAAGAGGGCUGGGGCUCCUUUGGAAACAGCAGCAGGAUGUGGUCUGGAGGCUCGCCGUGACAAGCGUGUUUGCCUUCGCUGCUGUAUUACACCACAAAGAAAGCAAAUAUUUUAGCUCACCUGUUCUCCCUGUGCCCACGGAGGGAACGAGCAGCAGCCCUGCAUAGCCUCCGUGUGCUCCAGGAAUAAGGAAAAGGCUGCAGCCAACUCUCUCUCUCUCUCUUUCUCCCCCGAUUUUUUCUUUAAUUAUCCCACAAAGUUAUUACUCAUUCAAAUCUUUUCUUUCAGGCCUGCACUGCUUUGGGAAAAAAAAUAAAUGUAAUAAAAUCAUUUUAACUAACAAAACCGGUGCAUGCCUUGAAGUAGGGCUGUCUGAAACCAGUUCUUGCGGCUCAGCUGUGGUUUUUCACAGAGUAGCAGCAGCAUUUUUCCUUUUGCUAAUGCAAGCUCCGUUCGGGUACACUCGACCUAAUUAAGCUGCUACGAGCUUCUCACGCCAAUGCCCUCAGCCUGCUUUAUCCUCGCUCAGCCCCCUCGCAUGGGGCUGUAAGGACGGAGGCCCUGGGACACCAGAGGUGCCCUGUCCGUUUUUAAAACGCCUUUUUAAUUACAACGGGGAACCGAGAUACACGACCGAGGCGAAUCUGGAGCAAGGAGUUGACUUACCAACACAAAGGCACCAAGUUAAUUAGAUAAGGCACACACUACAGAUUUAUUUAAUGACUAAGUCCUGCAUAUCCUGCUUCCUCCCCCAUCGCCCUGCCACCCACAUCCCCUCCCGGUCCCCGCCUCUGACUCCUCCAAGCCCCUCUGAACUCGAGUAUUUUACCCUAACCACACAUUUAAUCCCCUAGAUCCACUUGCUGAAAGUAUAAAUCAGCAGGAUAUGCUCCUAUUUUCCGUCCCCUGAAUACGUGGCCAGGGAUUAAUUAGUUCAGAGUAAGAGGAAAGAGCAAGGCUGGUCAGAAAUCCCCUUCUGCUUGAAGUGCUGUUAGAAAGAAAAGUCCUAAGCAUUUUAUUUUUUUUUUUAUUAUUAAUGUAUAUUUUUUUGCUACAAAGGUUUUGGAUUAAGAUUCAUUUUUCACCUAGAAAGUCGCCCCAUAUUUUUUUCAGACCCAGAACAUUUUUAUUUUCCCAUAGCAUUAUUAAGGCCAGCAGGUGAACACUUGGAUUUCUGCCAACCUGCAACGGACUCAAUCUGCAU